CCAGAUUAAAACCCUUCAUCAGAACUGAUUAGUUCCUUCAACAUCACCUUAAAAGCUUCUCCAGCACAGAGAUACCUCUUCUGACAGAAAGCUCUAGCUGCAGCCACUGGAGCUCUGGCAUGCCUGGGCUUGUCCCCAUGUGUCCCCAGGACUCACAUCUAGCCAAACAGUGUCUCUGGGGAGAAACACCGCAGGUGCUGCUAUUUGGUUCAGCAGCAGGGGCCAGGCAAGCCAAGGCACAUCCCGUUCAGCAAUAUUGUGGAGUUCCUGUUGUGACUUCCAUCCCAUCUGAAAUCUGCAACACAAAGUUGGAGUUGAAAAUGGUCUCCUGCAUUCAAAACUAUAUCCAUGAAUUCUUUGUUACUGAAAGAUCCUGGGCAGAAGAUUUUUAAGUCUGUGUCUUGAGGAAACCAUAAAUCACAUUGUGCAAUGAGCUUUGACUGGUUGACCAAAUGCAGUUACAAGGAAGAAAAGAGUGAAAUCUACGCAGAAAUUCUUCCCUAUGAGGACAGUGAGACCCUGGCACAAGUCUCCUAGAAAAGCUAUGGACACCCCAUCCCUGGAAGUGUCCAAGGCCAGGUUGGAUGGGGCUCUAAGCUACAUGGUCUAGUGGAAGGCGUCCCUGCCUGUGGCAGAGGGUUUGGAAUGAGAUGAGCUUUAAGAUCCCUUCCAACCCAAACCAGUCUAUAAUUCUAUGAUUCAGUAAAAUUUUGAAGUCUUCUGAAAGAAUCUCUGUUUAUAUGAUGUUCACCAAAAUGUCCUGCUUAAGGACAGAAAAUAAAGUUUAGUAGUUUUACCUAAAAACCUCAUCUGUAUAGACAAAAACAAAAUCCCCCAAAACCCUAACCCCUUGUCCCCUCCCAUAAAAACCAAA